rnacentral:lncRNA from 13 species
CCCUGGACCAGAUCUCUGCCCACUCAGCCCCGCUCUCCAAGCCCUGUACCAUCCAGAGAACUGGUCCCCGCCCCUGGAACUGAUCUCUGCCCAGUCACCCUACAGGCCUGGUACUACCAUAGCCAAGACCCCGCCUUCAGCCCCGUCCCGGAACCGGUCUCCGCCCAAGUUAGUCCCCGGCGCGCGCGGCCCACAGCCUGGCUCCACACCCCUAUGGCCGACCUUGCCCUCGCUACUACCCCAGGCCAGGGACCAACUUUGUGCUCACUAAGCAAAUUGCAACACCUCUGGGCGAGGCUGGGGGUGCGCGGCCGCCGCUCCCUCCCGCCACGCCUGCCGCCUAAGCGCAGAACCCCCAAACACGCCAGACUCUGCGCGCAAGCCGGAAGUGGACGUGCAGCGCUGUUCGCCCCAGACCGGAAGCGGAAGCGCGGGGCGGUGCCGUGGGAGGAGCCGCGCGUGGGGCACCGGGGAGCGAGUCCCUCCGUCUCCGCGAGUCGGCGCUUUUGUCCCCGCGGGAGGGGCCGGGCUUGGUGAGCGGCGGGCGGGGACUAGGGUCGGAGUCCAGGGGCGACGUGGGUCGUGGGCACCGCCAGCCCCGGGCCCUGCGUUCCUCCCGGGGGCCGCGUUUCCGUCCCUGAGGCCUCGGCUGUGUGCUCAGGUAUGGCCAACAACUGUGCAGCCUGUAAGAAGCCUCGAAAGAAGUCUUUGUGCCUUUUUAUUUCCAGCUGAGAAAAGCGUCAUUCAAGCUCAGAUUCCUGCUGAAACCAGCCACGAGGUCCACCUGUUGUCACUGACCCGUGGGUUUCUGUGUGAUCAGGAAUUCUGGAGUGGCUUGGCUGGAAGGCUCUGGCUGGAAACCUGCAGAAGGCUUUCAGCUGGGUCCGCGUCAUCCGAAGGCCCCACUGGUACUGGGGGCCCCUCCAUGGCCUGCAAGUCAGAGCUGGCUGUUGGUGAAAGGCCUCAGUUCCUCUCCACCUAGGCCUCUCCACAGGGCUGCUUGAGCAUCUUCCCAGCAUGACAACUGGCAUCUGCUAGAGCAGCAUCCCGGAGACCAACGCAGCAGCUGCAUUGCUUUCUAGGACCUAGCCCUGGAAGUCACCCCUGCACCCACCCCCGCUGUCUCUUAUGCCGUGUUCUGCUGGUCACACAGGUCAGCCCUAAUUCCAUGUGUGUGUUGGGCCUACGUAGGGUGUGAGCACCAGAAGGCUGGGAUCACUCAUUAGGAAGCAGUUACCACAAAGGGGACAGGGUAGGAGGCGUGAGGUAGGAUCACCCAGCAGGGCUGAGAGUUCUUUUCAUGUUGAUUACUGUGUUCUUCCAGAGUGGCAGCGUCACAGUCCUAGCACAGAGUCAUCUGCCUGAAUGUCCCCUGGAGUGGGUGGAUGAUGAAAGUCACACCUGGCUAGAGUUCUGCUGGGCUAGCCUGAUGGUGGUGGGGAGGGAAAUCAGCUGAAAUGAGGGGCAGCUGGGUGAGGAUGAAAUCCAGAGAGGGGGUGGCUAAGGCAGGACGGUGGGUGGCCGAGGCAGAGUCCUGGCAGGAAAGGGGUGACCGAGGCAGAGCACGAGCAGGAGUGGGGUGACUGAGGCAGGAGAGGGACUGACUGAGGCAGGAGAGGGGGUGACUGAGGCAGGAGAGGGACUGACUGAGGCAGGAGAGGGGGUGACUGAGGCAGGAGAGGGACUGACUGAGGCAGGAGAGGGGGUGACUGAGGCAGGAGAGGGACUGACUGAGGCAGGAGAGGGGGUGACUGAGGCAGGAGAG